AUGCUACAGGUUAAUCUGCACCGUCAAAACUCAAGCCCUAUCUCUCUCUGCCCUAACGCUCUGACCAAGCCGCCACUCUCCUCCCAGCAAUGGACCUCUCAUCUACCCCCCAGCAGCUCUCGGCCUCUCGCCACCGCCCUCCUCCCAGCGUGCUCCUCUUGCCAUAGCAGCAGCGGCGGCCAGCGCUGCAGCGGGGGAUGCAGCAGCAACAACGGCGGCGUCGCAGGCGCAGCAGGCGCGGCAGCACGGCGGCGAGGGUGCAGCAGCAGCAGCGCGGCGGCGGGAGGGUGCUCCAGAUCCAGCGUUGCCUCGUGUCCCUUCCGUGUCCCAGCCGUGUCCUCCCUUUUCUUUCUUUCUUUUAAUUCUUAA
rnacentral:rRNA from 1 species